ACAGUCCAUUGUCCUGAACAGUUGGUGGUGGCAAUUGCUGAGUUGGUUCUGUUUUCAACGCUUACUUCCAUUGGAAUCAAUGGGUUUUGCAGCCCAGUC